GCCCGCUAUGGGAACACAGGAUGGCCGAGCAGUGAUAGUUGUACAUUUCCAUCACUCGUUGUGUUGAUUUCAUCAUGUCCAUUAGGUGAUGUUUUUACACUAUAGAAUCAUAUUGCAAGUGCGCGCGCAUUUGCAAUAUGUUUCAAUGUGCAUUUACCAUAUGAAAUUUGAAAUGCUCAAAAAUGCAAAAUUGACUGGUCUGAUGGACACAGGAUGGCCGAGCAGUGAUAGUUGUACAUUUCCAUCACUCGUUGUGUUGAUUUCAUCAUGUCCAUUAGGUGAUGUUUUUUCACUAUAGAAUCAUAUUGCAAAUGCACGUGCAUUGUUGUGCAACUGGUAACCCAAAAAUAAAAAUAUGGUUGUAAAUGCAUUUACCGGUCAUUCUGAUAUUAAUGCUCGCUAUGGGAACACAGGAUGGCCGGGCAGUGAUAGUUGUACAUUUCCAUCACUCGUUGUGUUGAUUUCAUCAUGUCCAUUAGGUGAUGUUUUUACACUAUAGAAUCAUAUUGCAAGUGCGCGCGCAUUUGCAAUAUGUUUCAAUGUGCAUUUACCAUAUGAAAUUUGACAUGCUCAAAAAUGCAAAAUUGACUGGUCUGAUGGACACAGGAUGGCCGAGCAGUGAUAGUUGUACAUUUCCAUCACUUGUUGUGUUGAUUUCAUCAUGUCCAUUAGGUGAUGUUUUUUCACUAUAGAAUCAUAUUGCAAAUGCACGUGCAUUGUUGUGCAACUGGUAACCCAAAAAUUAAAAUAUGGUUGUAAAUGCAUUUACCGGUCAUUCUGAUAUUAAUGCUCGCUAUGGGAACACAGGAUGGCCGGGCAGUGAUAGUUGUACAUUUCCAUCACUCGUUGUGUUGAUUUCAUCAUGUCCAUUAGGUGAUGUUUUUACACUAUAGAAUCAUAUUGCAAGUGCGCGCGCAUUUGCAAUAUGUUUCAAUGUGCAUUUACCAUAUGAAAUUUGACAUGCUCAAAAAUGCAAAAUUGACUGGUCUGAUGGACACAGGAUGGCCGAGCAGUGAUAGUUGUACAUUUCCAUCACUCGUUGUGUUGAUUUCAUCAUGUCCAUUAGGUGAUGUUUUUUCACUAUAGAAUCAUAUUGCAAAUGCACGUGCAUUGUUGUGCAACUGGUAACCCAAAAAU